rnacentral:rRNA from 1 species
AACGAACGCUGGCGGCAGGCUUAACACAUGCAAGUCGAACGCCCCGCAAGGGGAGUGGCAGACGGGUGAGUAACGCGUGGGAACGUACCUUUCGCUUCGGAAUAUUCCCGGGAAACUGGGAGCAAUGCCGAAUACGCCGUAUUGGGAAAGAUUUAUCGGCGAAAGAUCGGCCCGCGUUAGAUUAGGUAGGUGGCGGUGUAAUGGACCACCAAGCCUACGAUCUAUAGCUGGUCUGAGAGGAUGAUCUGCCACACUGGGACUGAGACACGGCCCAGACUCCUACGGGAGGCAGCAGUGGGGAAUCUUGGACAAUGGGCGCAAGCCUGAUCCAGCCAUGCCGCGUGAGUGAAGAAGGCCUUAGGGUUGUAAAACUCUUCCGCCGGUGAAGAUAAUGACGGUAACCGGAGAAGAAGCCCCGGCUAACUUCGUGCCAGCCGCCGCAGUAA